rnacentral:rRNA from 1 species
UACGAAGGGGGCUAGCGUUGUUCGGAAUUACUGGGCGUAAAGCGUAUGCAGGCGGACUUUUAAGUCGGGGGUGAAAUCCCGAGGCUCAACCUCGGAACUGCCUUCGAUACUGGAAGUCUUGAGUCCGGGAGAGGUGAGUGGAACUCCGAGUGUAGGGGUGAAAUUCGUAGAUAUUCGGAAGAACACCAGUGGCGAAGGCGGCUCACUGGCCCGGUACUGACGCUGAGGUGCGAAAGCGUGGGGAGCAAACAGG